AUAGAACCUAAAGGCCCAUAGAUGUAAACCCUAAGCUAUAAAUAAAAGACUUCGUCUUUGAUUUCGCCGCAAGAUAUUAUCUUCACGAAAAGAUCCGAUUUUUUUGUUCUGAUUUUCUGUUAAAAUCUGAAUUUUUCGCUACGAAAUCUUAGGUUAAGAAUAGCAUAUAAGGAACAGAUUUGUGAUAGGAGUCUUUAAGCUUAGCACUCAUGUAUAGCUUAAAAGAAAUCUUAUGUUCCGAUGCUAAAUCAAACAUCUUCAUUGAUGGUUUGGAGUCUCUGGACAUGUAGCAUUCUGGGAAUUUUUUUUCCCGUGGAUUCUAGCAUUUUCUCGAGAUUCGACAUCUUCCUAUGUUUUUAAUUCUGAUCUUAUGUUUGGAUAUUUUAGAUCUUCGAAUUUCUAUGAUAAAGUGUUAACCUUUUCUCAAAUAAAGGUUUUGUGAAAAUUUGCUUUUUGAUGCUGCUCUAUGAUGAUUCUUUUUGCUUUAACCACACUGAAAAGAUGGGGUUGAGAAUGUGAUUUUGCUCUUCUUGAUUCAAACCAGAGAAAGAUUAGAUUUGAUCUCGGAGUUUCUUGAUGACACUUUGAUCUAAGUUGCUUGAAGGGGAUUCUUUUUCUCCUUUGUGGUUUAGAUUAAGGUAGAGAGUAAUGUCGAGCUCUUAUCAACAUUUUUCAUGGUUUGAGGCUUGAAGAACAUUCACGUUUUUCAAGCUCACUCAUGUGGACAACCUUGGCCCUUGUCUGAGAAGCAGCUUUUUCUCAUAUUCAGUUUUUCUAAAUUUGUUGUUUUAAAAAAAAAAAUUGGUUUGUUUUUUUGGCUGUUCUAUGAUGAUUAUAUUGCUUUAACCACACUGAAAAGAUGGGCUUGAGAAUGUGAUGUGGUUCUUCUUGAUUUAAUCCAAAGAAAGAGUUCUUGAGCUAUAUGUAUUGCUUGAUGACACUUUGAUCUAAAAUACUUGAAGGGGAUUUGUUUCCCUUUGUGUUUUAGAUCAAGGAAGAGAUCAGUGUAGAGCUCUUGUUCGAUAUUUUUCUUAGUUUAAAUCUUGAAGAACAUUAUCAUUUUCUCAAGCACUCAUAUGUGGAAUCAUUGUGCCCUUUGUCUGAGAAGCAGCUAUGAAUUCUGUUUUUGUCUUCGAUAUUGUUAAACGUAGCUGAUUUGUAAGAUUACUUUGUGAUCUUUUUUGGAUGCUUGAUAUGUAUCCAACCAAGAGUGGGUUUCUUCUUACAAAGAUAUUGAGUUAGGAAUUUUAAUGUCAUUUUAUGUUCGAAUUGGGGAAAAUUCACAAAAAAUUGGGAAAAUAGAAGAGAGCAUUAUUCGAUGUUUACCACAUGGUGGAAUAAUUUGACAGAACAAUGUACUUUGGGAAUGACAUAUGGAACAAACUGUGUAAACCAAUUUGAUGAUGAAGGUGAACGAGUUACAUAUAGGAGACUUACACUUCCAUAAUAAUAUUCAGAAACUAUAUGAAAGUGUAUCUUUCUUUAUUACUAAAACUCUUUUCUAAUAAGAAAUGUGUAAACUAUGUAACUCGGCAACGGUUCCAGACUCUCUAAUCCUAAAUCAAUGUUAAAGGCGUAAGGCUCUUGAACCUGUUCAUUGUGAGCUUUGAACUAAGUAUUCAAUUUUUUGGACAAUCCGAAAAACACAACAGUAUAACUACAAAUGGAUUAGUCCCAUUUGGGCGUAGUCUCAUUCGUUUGGACGAGAAACACAACGAAAAACCUAGCCAAUUUUGUUGUUCUCAUGUAUGGGCUUAAUUGGGGACUAAUCCAUCUGUGGUUCCCCUUGUUUCCAUAGUUCGUAAUUUUAUUCGUUUUUCGUCUUAAGUUUUCCCUUCUUUAGGUUUAGUUUCCGGAGAUAUUUUUGUUUUCCGCCGGCUUUGUGUUUCAAAUUUGUAUUCCACCCUUUGUAUUUCACAACCUAUAAUACAAUGGAAAAAUUCUGGAUGAAAAAAAGAAAAAGAACACAGUAUAUAGAAAAAUCUGAAUCACAGUACUAACAUCAUUGAUUUUCUGCUACAAAAAUGAGUGUACACUGAUUCUUAAAAUAGAUACGGGCUAUAACAUAACAAAAAGAAAAAGUGGGGGAUGGCUUUUGCAAUAAUCUCGAAAGAGUUUCUCACUCACAUCACACCCUUGGUUUAUAAAUAAAACUCAUUGAUCUUGACGGUGAAAAUAUCGCCACCUGUUAAUUUGUAAAAAGGUUUCAGUACACUUAGCUACACUGGAUCCAAGUCUAGUGCUAAACUCAAACCUCGUGGUUUUAGACCAAAAUCUCUUCUUCUUCGUUUCCUUCUUCCUCAUCAUAUCUUUCAUCUUCUCCACCAGAAUUUGUUUUAGGCUCUCCUUCUUCUGUUUCUUUUUCUCCCAAAGAAACAAUUAGAUAUGGAGAACCUUACCCUAGUUUCUUGCUCAGCUUCUUCUCCAAAGCUGUUAAUUGGAUGCAAUUUCACUUCCUCGCUGAAAAACCCUACUGGGUUUUCUCGUCGGACUCCUAAUAUUGUCCUCCGGUGUUCCAAAAUAUCUGCCUCUGCUCAAUCUCAAUCUCCCUCUUCGCGUCCGGAGAACACUGGAGAAAUCGGUUAGUUUGCAAAUUCCACUCGACACUCUAUUAUAGCAAAUGCCAAAAUUUUCCGGAAAAAUUUCCAGUUUAUUACUUUUAUCUAUCUUAUUGAAACUCAAAUUGCGAACCCUUUUCGACUGGUUUAAUAUGAGCUUAUGAAUUGCUAUAUCUCUUAAAAAAAUCCACACUUUGUGAAUUUGCAAUUUGAAUUCUUGUAGAAACCAUUCAUUGUUAGAAUUGUUUACUUUAAGUUUAUGUUCGAUUUGCAGUGGUUGUGAAACAGAGAAGCAAAGCUUUUGCAAGUAUAUUUUCUUCGAGUCGUGAUCAACAGACAACUUCUGUUGCUUCCCCUAGUGUGCCUGUGCCACCACCAUCUUCAUCAACCAUGUAAUUUUCCUGGUUUUGGACAAUGUGCUUAGUUUGUAUGUCGUUUGAUUCUUGGUUAUUAAAUUGUGUUUUUUCUUUUUUCUUGUAGAGGAUCACCACUUUUCUGGAUUGGUGUUGGUGUUGGUCUAUCAGCUUUGUUCUCAUAUGUGAGUAUCAAGAUUCCUUCCUAAUUUUUUUUUCCUCUAUAAAUAUUCUUUCUUGCUUCAAUAUUGAUUAAUAAGUGCUUGACCUUUUUUCUUUUCUGAUGGCAUUGCAGGUAACUUCAAAUUUAAAGGUACAGAUACUUGGCCCUCUGGUUUUACGGGACUUUUGUUCUCUAGUCUGUUGCAGAACCACGAUUUUAUGCUUCAUGUCAACUCUAGUGUAUUGUGCUCAUGUAUCUGAGAUAGUUUUAUUCACUAAACUGGUUAUCUUAACAAGGUGAACUGUUUGCUCACACUUGUUGAACCGUUUAUAUAAGCAUCGAACUUUUGCCUCUCUUUUUUUGGGUAGUCACUUGAUUCGUAGAUGGUAACCUACAUACCAUUAUGGUUUUAGUGAUGCAACUCAGGUAUUCAGACUUAUAGUCAUUUUCGCAACUCCAGUAUUUGAUUGAAAUAUAUUAUACAAGUUGUCAUUGCUUUCUCUCAUUAUUCUCUAACCGGCUGUUACUCUCUUUGGAUUUUUUUUUUUGCUUUGGUUUAGAAAUAUGCAAUGCAAACAGCUAUGAAGACGAUGAUGAACCAAAUGAAUACGCAAAAUAGCCAGUUUAAUAAUUCUGGAUUCCCAUCAGGAUCACCUUUUCCGUUUCCAUUUCCUCCUCAAACAAGUCCUGCUUCCUCGCCAUUCCAAUCUCAAUCCCAGUCUUCAGGUGCUACCGUUGAUGUGACAGCGACAAAAGUAGAGACACCUCCUUCAACUAAACCGAAACCUACACCUGCAAAGGAUAUAGAGGUGGAUAAGCCAAGUGUUGUCUUAGAGGCAAGCAAAGAGAAGAAAGAAGAAAAGAACUAUGGUAGAUUCUUUUUCUGUUUCAGAAAUCAACGUCUUUUCAUUUGUAUUCUCAAUUUUGACUUUCUUCCUUUCUCAUUUUCCAAGCUUCUAACUUGGAAGCUGAUUUACUUUUGGAUGCAGCCUUUGAAGACAUUUCACCCGAGGAAACCACAAAAGAAAGCCCAUUUAGCAACUAUGCAGAAGUCUCUGAAACUAAUUCCCCCAAAGAAACUCGCUUGUUUGAGGAUGUAAGUUUCGUUUUCUUUUGUAUUUCCACAGCACACCAAGUGGUGAUUUAAAAACGUGACAUAGUUUUGCUAACCUUCUAUGCUCUCUUAUUGAUCUCUGGGUGAAGGUCUUGCAAAAUGGAGCUGGUCCGGCAAAUGGUGCCACUGCUUCAGAGGUUUUUCAAUCUUUGGGUGAGUUAUUGAAUUUCAGUUUUCAUCACUAUCAGCGCACUGUGCAUGAUUCAUGAUUAAGGCUACGGAUUUCAAUUUUAUUUUAUAGCAUAUGCCAACAAUUAUAAACAAAGGAAGAUAUGAAAUUGGUGAUAAAGAGGAAUGAGUUGGCUUCAAAAGGAUCUACUCCGUUACUUUUGUCCUUCUGCUAGUCGUUGAUCUGUAUUGGUAUAACCAUAUAAGACUUGCAGGAUAUUACCUUGGCAAUCUGUUUCAUAUCUCAUGUGUUAUGAUUCUUUUUUCUUAUAUGCUCACGUUAUUGUCUCUCUUUUCCUUAUUCUAAAUUUAAAACUGAAUCCUGAGUCUGUCUAUUGUUUACACAGGUGGUGGGAAAGGAGGGCCGGGUUUAUCUGUAGAAGCUUUAGAGAAAAUGAUGGAAGAUCCAACAGUCCAGAAGAUGGUUUACCCGUAACUCAUCUUCCCUAGCACAUUGUCUUUAAAUGCAUCCAUUAAGUUUAUCUUUAAAACUGGUUGCUUAGUGGACAUUUGGUAACAUUGCAUGUAUAAAUGCAGAUACUUGCCUGAGGAGAUGAGGAACCCAGAAACUUUCAAAUGUAAGUCUUUUAAUAUUUAAUCCUGCUAUCAUUCUUUUAUUAGUCCUCAUUUUUACAUAUUUCUAAAGACUAAAGGUUACAUGACUAGCUUUUGAAUGAUGUAAUUCGUUUAUAGGUUGAUCCAAUGGUUAUCUAAAUUUAAAAUACAGUUUGGUACUUAUUGUCUCCGCUUGGAAUUUUGUAGGGAUGCUUAAAAAUCCUCAGUACCGUCAACAACUACAGGACAUGUUGUAAGAGCUCCAUUUUACGAACAAUUUAGUUGUUUCCAUUGCUUUUAAGAAUGUCUAAACUAUGUAAUUAAGAAAUACUCUUGUUUGUUUCUUUUCAUGAAUUUAGGAAUAAUAUGAGUGGGAGUGGUGAAUGGGACAAGCGAAUGACAGAUACAUUGAAGAAUUUUGACCUGAAUAGUCCUGAAGUGAAGCAACAAUUCAGUAAGACAAAUCUCAGUUUGUACCAAGUUAAUAGUACGUUAAAUAGGUCUGAUACUCAAUGAUUGAAUCUGUAUUUGUCAGAUCAAAUAGGACUAACUCCAGAAGAAGUCAUAUCUAAGAUCAUGGAGAACCCUGAUGUUGCCAUGGCAUUCCAGAAUCCUAGAGUCCAAGCAGCGUUAAUGGAAGUACGUUUUCUUUUAACCUGAAUAAGAGAAUUGCUUAAUUUUACCCCACUUCUUUCUUCAUACAAAACAGAAACCAAUUACAUUCUUGUUGUUGUUGCAGUGCUCAGAGAACCCAAUGAACAUCAUGAAGUACCAAAACGACAAAGAGGUAAUAAUACUGCCACUUCUCCAUUGCCCAAAAAGGCGAUUACUUUUUUAAGAAAUUUGAGGUUAUUAUACAUUGAUUGCAGGUAAUGGAUGUGUUCAACAAGAUAUCGCAGCUCUUCCCAGGAAUGACGGGUUGAAAAAGCUCACGUCUUUGGUUCUAUCAAAAAUGUCACAUUGUCUUUAGCUUUUUGUAGGGAGAAAAAAAUGUUUUUUUUUUUGCAAAGAGUCUUCAGUUUUGGUCAGAUCAGAGAAUUGUGUACCAUGUUAAUCUUAAACGCGGUCGGGAAUUGGAGUCGUGUGAAAACGCCGCUGCUGUUGUUUGGUAUGAAUAUUAUACAAUAGAAUUUGUUGUCUUACCAAAAAAAGUCUAUGAAGACACUGAAGAGCAAAUUAUUAUUUUUAAGGGAAAAUUUCCAAAAUAAACUUCAUGUAUUCAAAAUUUGCUUGAAAAAACCUCAAUUUUUUUUGUUUGAGAUUGUGUGAAUAAAUCUGCCAAUAUUUUGUUUUAGCAAUUUAAAAAAUUGAAGUUUUUUUCUCGCAAAUUUUAAAUAGUUGUGAUUUAUUUUGGAAUUUUACCUUAUUUUUAAUAUCCAAAAGGAGAAGUGACGUGGCGAUAUCGAAGCGGUUUAAUGAAGUGAUGGCCCCAUCUUAAAGAAAUCAAUGACCCUUAUCGUUCCACUUCUAUCGGAGUCGGAGUUUUUUUUUGUUGUUGUUGUAUUCCGUACGUCGGUCGUUGUCGGGAGAAUUGGCGCGUGAAAUCCUUGGCUCCGUCGAAUACGUCUGCCUCCGACGGCUGUGAGUCGCAUGAUUGAGUCGUGGGUAAGUAUCCUUGUGACUUCAAAUUUGUAUUUCCGUUCUUUAUAAUCCCCUGACUCUUGAGAAAAUCGAGGAGAAAAAACCAUCCUUGCUUGGUAUUCAUUUGAAGAGUGUUUUAGUUAUAAAAUCGUAAUGUUUGACGGUAUGUGAUAUUCUGUGAGCAUGAUUAUUCAGAAAGCUUUUGUCUUUUUAGUAAAUAUUGUCUCUUUCUUAGUCUUAGGUAAUGUAACCUCAAGAACUCUAUGCGAGAACAUUACACAUUAUCUUUGGAAUUGGAUAUUAUAUUGUUAAAGUUUAAUCAUUGAUGAAAGUUGCAAAGAGUUAUGAUGACUCCGUUUUGGGAUUGUCUUACCGUUGUCUUUCUGGUUUUAAUGCUUAGGUUUCUCUUGAUGAAGUCUAGAAGUGAAAGUAAGAAUUGUAGGCUUGCACAAGCCUCUAGAGUAGCAGUCAACAAAGUUCUAGACAAAAGCAGCGCCCGUGGCUCUCGAGGCAAGAAGAAGCAAGAUGAUAACUGUGAUUCCGCUAAGGUUUGUUCUUCUAUUCAUGCAAACAACAUUAUUGUUAUAAUGAUUUCACUAUGUUUACCAGGGUACUUAAGAUGUUAGAAGCAACGAAUUCUAUUGAUUGUUUUCAAGGUUUCCUUGAAGAUUGUGAAGUCCGUGGUACUACUAACCAAUUAUCAAUGGCUGUUAAAAAUAGUUUCCUUGUCCUAUGCCUAAAGAUUUUCUUGGGACAGUGGAGAUUUUUGUCUUAUCUAGUCCUAUGUUGUCCGGGAGUGUAAAAUUAUUUAAUACUCUUCUAUCAUUGCAGCGGGAUAAAGGCGUAAACGGUAAGGGAAAGCAAGCGCUCGACGCAAGAUUGAUUGAUAACGUUCUAGAGGACAGGGGAUGUGGUAAUGUUGAUGAUGAUGAAAUGAAUGAUUCAGACUGGGAAGACUGUCCAAUCCCUAGUCUUGAUAGUACGGUUGAUGAUAAUAAUGUUGAUGACACCAGAGAGCUAACCAUAGAAUUUGAUGAUGAUGUUCCUGAUGCUAAGAAGCAGAAGAAUGCAUACCGUGCAACAGCAGAAGACAAGGUAUACUGUGCUUAGGAAACACAAUAUGCUUACUUUUGUUUAUUCUUUAAAAUGUGGUUGCUUUAGAGAUUUGUGCUUUGUCUCAAAGGUACGGGCGGAACUUGUCCAUAAGGUGCACUUGCUCUGUCUGCUUGCAAGAGGGAGGAUAGUUGACAGUGCUUGUAAUGAUCCCUUGAUUCAGGUGAAUAAAUUGAAUACAACAGUGUUAGCAGUUGCUUCAAAGUUAAAUUUUUCAUAUUGCAACCUGCGAUAUAAAGUUUAGUUUUUACAUUUAACGUGCAGGCUGCCUUGCUUUCACUUCUACCAUCAUACUUGACAAAAGUAUCAAAUCUCGAGAAAGUUACUGUCAAGGAUAUAGCCCCUCUUCUUCGUUGGGUAUGGAUUUACUGGCAUGUAGCUUUUGUUUUGUUCUAAUGGAAAGGUUAAACAAAUGUUCCCUGGUUUAAAUUGUAGGUUCGUGAAAACUUUUCUGUUAGUUGUUCUCCCAGUUCUGAGAAAUCUUUUCGUACAUCCCUAGCAUUUGCUCUUGAAUCUCGUAAAGGCACAGCGGAAGAGGUAAGCUUGGGAUCAGAUUUAUGCCAUUGAACCUUUUCAUUAUAUGGUUACUUGUAUUGUUGAAACCUCUGUUUACGAAACUUAUGGAAACAUUUUUGCAGCUUGCAGCACUGGCUGUUGCUUUGCUUAGAGCAUUAAAGCUCACAACCCGGUAUGUGAUACUUGUUAUGUUGCCACAAUAUAGUAUUUCUAUUUGGUUUCUGAGCUUGGUUGUGAAUCUGUUUUUUACUGUGUAUCAAUGACACCUUGUCUAAAGUGGCAUAUGAGAACUCCAUUCUUGCAUGUUAAUGAGUUUCCUCAGUCCUAUUUGGCUAAUUAUUUAGAUCCAUAACGUUCAUUGACAUUAUGCUUUUCAAGAUUAAUCUUGGUCAGAUAACUAUUUACGGUACCAUCGUUUCUGGAGUGUUACUUAUUUAUAAUACUUACAGCUUAGUAUGCCAAGCGUGUUUCGAGUUUUUUGUAAUAAGUUGAGUUUUACAGGUUUGUGUCUAUUCUUGAUGUUGCAUCCUUAAAACCUGGGGCCGAUAGGAAUGAAUCAUCAGGUCAAAACAGAGCUAAAAUGAAGCAUGGGAUAUUCAGGACGUCAACACUUAUGGUACCAAAACAGCAGGCCAUCUCGUCAUACCCGAAGAAAUCUUCCUCCCAUGUUAAGAAUAAAAGUCCCUUUGAAAAGCCUCAGCUUGGGAAUCCCCUGGGCUCUGAUCAGGUACAAGACAAUGCAGUCAAUUCAUCUUGUGAAGCAGGAAUGUCCAUAAAAUCUGACGGAACAAGGAGGAAAGGAGAUGUUGAGUUCGAGAGGCAAAUAGCCAUGGCUUUGUCUGCAACUGCAGACAACCAACAGAGCUCUCAAGUGAACAAUACGAAGAAAGUUCGUGAAAUAACAAAAAUAAGUAAUAGCUCGUCAGUUUCUGACCAAGUAAUAUCCACGGCUUUCGGUUCUAAGAAAGUAGAUUCUCCCCUUUGUUGGCUUGAGGUGUAUUGCAAUGGGGAAAACAUGGAUGGGAAAUGGGUCCAUGUCGAUGCUGUUAAUGGAAUGAUAGAUGCAGAGCAAAACAUUGAAGCAGCAGCUGCCGCAUGCAAAACCGUUCUCAGAUAUGUUGUUGCAUUUGCUGCUGGUGGAGCUAAAGAUGUCACUCGCAGGUUUUCUAUUGACUGUAUUACAGUUACUUUGUUGUUGGACAAUUAACAUCUUCUAUUUUUACAUAUCCUUUGCUUGCAAAGUGCAAACAGUUUCCAUUUCUAGAUACUUCUUUACAUCUAAUUCCCUCUGACACUUUUCUUAUUCAGGUACUGUACAAAGUGGCACACUAUUUCAUCCAAACGGGUGUCUUCAGUGUGGUGGGAUAUGGUAUUAGCACCGUUAGUACAUCUCGAGUCAGGUGCAACUCACGAUGAAGACAUUGCUCUGAGAAAUUUCAAUGGCCUAAAUCCUGUUUCUAGUAGAGCUUCCUCGAGUAGCUCGUCGUUUGGUAUAAGGAGUGCUCUUGAAGAUAUGGAGUUGGCUACACGGGCGCUGACUGAGUCUCUUCCUACUAACCAGCAGGUAAAGUGGGUGUAACCUGACAAAUAAAUUUAAAGCUCAUACUUCAUUUAAACCCUUCAGCUAAAAAAAUCCCUUUAUUUAAACUUGCAGGCUUAUAAAAGUCAUGAAAUAUAUGCUAUUGAGAAAUGGCUUCACAAGAACCAGAUACUUCACCCAAAAGGUCCAGUUCUGGGAUUUUGCUCUGGUCAUCCAGUAUAUCCUCGAACCUGUGUGCAGACUCUUAAAACAAAAGAAAGAUGGCUUCGUGAUGGGCUACAACUUAAGGCGAAUGAAGUUCCCUCAAAGGUUUCCGUGUUUUAUUCUCUCCCUGAUGAUUAUCUUAGUCGUUCCCCUUUUUUUUCGGUUUGAUGAUCAACUCUUGAAGUCCAUUAUUACCUUAGAUUCUUAAGCGAAACUCGAAGUUCAAGAAAGUAAAAGAUUUUGAAGAUGGCGACAACAACAUUAAAGGUGGUUCUUCUUGCAUGGAACUAUAUGGGAAGUGGCAAAUGGAACCAUUGUGUCUCCCUCCCGCUGUUAAUGGAAUUGUGCCCAAGGUAAAACAAAUGUUGUUGUAUUUGUCCUUGUUUAUAUCGCUUCUGCAGUUGCAACUUCAUCAAUACUUUAAAACAAAACAUACUUUGUAGACGGGAAUAGUGUAUAAAUGUAUAAUCCUUAUGUUUUUUUCAGAACGAGCGCGGUCAAGUUGAUGUCUGGUCUGAGAAAUGUCUCCCACCUGGAACAGUCCACUUAAGGUUUCCUCGAAUAUUUGCGGUUGCUAAGAGAUUCGGUAUAGAUUAUGCACCUGCCAUGGUUGGUUUCGAGUACAGAAGUGGAGGUGCUACUCCUAUUUUUGAAGGUAUUGUGGUCUGUACCGAGUUCAAAGACACAAUCCUCGAGGUAUAAUCUCUUUAAUUUUCAAUCUGAAACAGAGUACCAUGUUUUGAAUAUGGAUCCGUUGGUUAUAUCUUGUUUUUCUUGUUGUUUUGGUUAGGCAUAUGCAGAAGAACAAGAAAAGAAAGAAGAAGAGGAGAGAAGAAGAAAUGAGGCACAAGCAGCUUCGAGAUGGUAUCAGCUUCUUUCGUCUAUCUUAACCCGUGAAAGAUUGAAAAACCGUUACGCUAAUAACUCUAACGAUGUCGAAGCCAAGAGUUUGGAAGUGAAUUCAGAAACAGUCGUUAAGGCAAAGAAUGUGAAAGCACCUGAAAAGCAGAGAGUGGCUAAGAGAGGAGAAAAGUCACGAGUAAGAAAGUCUCGUAAUGAAGAUGAAAGUCAUGAACAUGUGUUUCUUGAUGA
rnacentral:lncRNA from 1 species